rnacentral:rRNA from 1 species
UACGAAGGGGGCUAGCGUUGCUCGGAAUUACUGGGCGUAAAGGGCGCGUAGGCGGGUCGUUUAGUUAGAGGUGAAAGCCCAGGGCUCAACCCUGGAAUUGCCUUUAAUACUGGCGGCCUUGAGUAUGGCAGAGGUGUGUGGAACUCCGAGUGUAGAGGUGAAAUUCGUAGAUAUUCGCAAGAACACCAGUGGCGAAGGCGGCUCACUGGCCCGGUACUGACGCUGAGGUGCGAAAGCGUGGGGAGCAAACAGG